rnacentral:rRNA from 1 species
CGUAGGGGCGAGCGUUGUCCGGAAUCAUUGGGCGUAAAGAGCUCGUAGGCGGUUCAGCAAGUCGGCUGUGAAAUUCCGAGGCUCAACCUCGGAACUGCAGUCGAUACUGCUGUGACUCGAGCCCGGUAGAGGAGAAUGGAAUUCCCGGUGUAGCGGUGAAAUGCGCAGAUAUCGGGAGGAACACCAGUAGCGAAGGCGGUUCUCUGGGCCGGUACUGACGCUGAGGAGCGAAAGCGUGGGGAGCAAACAGGAUUAGAUACCCUGGUAGUCCACGCUGUAAACGUUGGACACUAGGUGUGGCGGUCUGAUCAACGACUGCCGUGCCGAAGCUAACGCAUUAAGUGUCCCGCCUGGGGAGUACGGCCGCAAGGCUA